rnacentral:rRNA from 1 species
CCGGCGACCGGCGCACGGGUGAGUAACACGUAUGCAACCUGCCCUCUUCAGGGGGACAACCUUCCGAAAGGGAGGCUAAUCCCGCGUAUAUCGGUUUCGGGCAUCCGAGAUCGAGGAAAGAUUCAUCGGAAGAGGAUGGGCAUGCGGCGCAUUAGCUAGACGGCGGGGUAACGGCCCACCGUGGCGACGAUGCGUAGGGGUUCUGAGAGGAAGGCCCCCCACACUGGGACUGAGACACGGCCCAGACUCCUACGGAAGGCAGCAG